AUACGGGGGGUGCAAGCGUUAUUCGGAUUUAUUGGGCGUAAAGGGCGCGCAGGCGGUUUGGUAAGUCAGAGGUGAAAGUCCAGGGCUUAACCCUGGAAGUGCAUAUAAAACUGUCAGACUUGAGUAUCAGAGGGGAAAGUGGAAUUCCCGGUGUAGAGGUGAAAUUCGUAGAUAUCGGGAGGAAUACCGGUGGCGAGGGCGACUUUCUGGCUGAAUACUGACGCUGAAGCGCGAAAGCGUGGGGAGCAAACAGGAUUAGAAACCCCAGUAGUCC
rnacentral:rRNA from 1 species